rnacentral:rRNA from 1 species
ACGCUGGCGGCAGGCCUAACACAUGCAAGUCGAGCGGUAGAGAGAAGCUUGCUUCUCUUGAGAGCGGCGGACGGGUGAGUAAUGCCUAGGAAUCUGCCUGGUAGUGGGGGAUAACGUUCGGAAACGGACGCUAAUACCGCAUACGUCCUACGGGAGAAAGCAGGGGACCUUCGGGCCUUGCGCUAUCAGAUGAGCCUAGGUCGGAUUAGCUAGUUGGUGAGGUAAUGGCUCACCAAGGCGACGAUCCGUAACUGGUCUGAGAGGAUGAUCAGUCACACUGGAACUGAGACACGGUCCAGACUCCUACGGGAGGCAGCAGUGGGGAAUAUUGGACAAUGGGCGAAAGCCUGAUCCAGCCAUGCCGCGUGUGUGAAGAAGGUCUUCGGAUUGUAAAGCACUUUAAGUUGGGAGGAAGGGCAUUAACCUAAUACGUGAUUGUUUUGACGUUACCGACAGAAUAAAGCACCGGCUAACUCUGUGCCAGCAGCCGCGGUAAUACAGAGGGUGCAAGCGUUAAUCGGAAUUACUGGGCGUAAAGCGCGCGUAGGUGGUUAGUUAAGUUGGAUGUGAAAUCCCCGGGCUCAACCUGGGAACUGCAUUCAAAACUGACUGACUAGAGUAUGGUAGAGGGUGGUGGAAUUUCCUGUGUAGCGGUGAAAUGC